GGCUCCAUCGUCUAGCGGUCAAGGACAUCCGACUUUCUAUCGGAGAACACGGGUUCGAGUCCCGUUGGAGCUU
rnacentral:tRNA from 1 species